rnacentral:tRNA from 1 species
GUGGUUAUAGCCCAGUGGUAGAGUGCAUGCCUAGCAUGUGUGAGGCACUGGGUUCAAUUCUCAGACCACA